CAGUAGCCGCGGUAAUACGUAGGUCCCGAGCGUUGUCCGGAUUUAUUGGGCGUAAAGAGAGCGCAGGCGGUUUAGUAAGUCUGAAGUUAAAGGCAUUGGCUCAACCAAUGUAUGCUUUGGAAACUGUUAGACUUGAGUGCAGAAGGGGAGAGUGGAAUUCCAUGUGUAGCGGUGAAAUGCGUAGAUAUAUGGAGGAACACCGGUGGCGAAAGCGGCUCUCUGGUCUGUCACUGACGCUCAUGCACGAAAGCGCGGGGAGCAAACAGGAUUAGAUACCCCAGUAGUCCCUGUCUCUUAUACA
rnacentral:rRNA from 1 species